rnacentral:rRNA from 1 species
GGUAGCGAAGGGCGAAGAGCCACGGUAAGAGUGAGUGGGCAAGCUGUGUCCGGAGUUAUGGGGCGUAAAGAGCGUGUGGGCGGCCUAGAAGGUCAGCUGUGAAAACUCGAGGCUUAACGUGGAGACGUUGGUUGAAACCACCUGGCUAGAGUCCGGAAGAGGAGUGUGGAAUUCCCGGUGUAGCGGUGAAAUGCGCAGAUAUCGGGAAGAACACCCGUGGCGAAGGCGGCACUCUGGGACGGUACUGACGCUGAGACGCGAAAGCGUGGGGAGCGAACAGGAUUAGAUACCCUUGUAGUC